rnacentral:rRNA from 1 species
AGCGAACGCUGGCGGCAGGCCUAAUACAUGCAAGUCGAGCGGGUCCUUCGGGACUAGCGGCGGACGGGUGAGUAACGCGUGGGAACGUGCCCUUUGGUACGGAACAACUGAGGGAAACUUCAGCUAAUACCGUAUGUGCCCUUCGGGGAAAGAUUUAUCGCCAUUGGAGCGGCCCGCGUUGGAUUAGGUAGUUGGUGAGGUAAAGGCUCACCAAGCCUACGAUCCAUAGCUGGUCUGAGAGGAUGACCAGCCACACUGGGACUGAGACACGGCCCAGACUCCUACGGGAGGCAGCAGUAGGGAAUCUUGCGCAAUGGGCGAAAGCCUGACGCAGCCAUGCCGCGUGAAUGAUGAAGGUCUUAGGAUUGUAAAAUUCUUUCACCGGGGACGAUAAUGACGGUACCCGGAGAAGAAGCCCCGGCUAACUUCGUG